AACAUCACCUCGCUGUUGGAACACUUGAGGCGGUCUGGGAGAUGUCCAGGGUCCUGAAACGGCAGAGCUGAGGUCACGCAGCAGGGAGAGCAUCCCUGAGACAGAAACGUCUCCUACCUGAGGGCAUGGGCUUCUCCCUGCCUGCAGCACCACGAGGAUCCUGCUGAGCGAGCACAGGGGGAGCACAAGGGAGCAGCUCUGGGAUGAUGCCCUGGGUGCUUCUGCAUGGCUGUGGAAUAAGGUCCAGCUGACAAGCAAGCCUGGGGAGCUGUGGAAGAAAAGUGCCCAGAGGAGAACAAGGAAUACAGUGCAGUCAGCUGGAGGUUUCAUUGGAAGGCACACACACACCCAGGGUUUAAAGGAUGAAGGGAACGUAAUUCAGCAGAUUCCUUUGGAGCAGCACUUGUUCUCCUGGCUGACAGAGGGACCAGAAAAAAUGGUAAGAAAACUCCUUUUAACUGCAAAGCUUGUCUUCAAUUCUCUCCCUCCCUAUUUUGUUUGGUUU
rnacentral:lncRNA from 1 species